UUUAUUUUUAUUCUGUUAUAAGAAUUUUAAGAUUGAUUCUGUCUUAUAUAAAUAUAAUUAGCUAUAUUUUAUUAUUAUAUACGAGAUUUUUCUGGAUUUAUUUUUUAUCUUAAGGGUAAUUUUUUAUUUUUAAUUGUAGUUUUUAAUUUUAAAUAUU
rnacentral:rRNA from 1 species